rnacentral:rRNA from 1 species
UACAGAGGGUGCGAGCGUUAAUCGGGAUUACUGGGCGUAAAGCGUGCGUAGACGGUUAUUUAAGUCGGGUGUGAAAGCCCCGGGCUCAACCUGGGAAUUGCAUUCGAGACUGAAUAGCUAGGGUACGGUAGAGGGAAGUGGAAUUUCCGGUGUAGCGGUGAAAUGCGUAGAUAUCGGAAGGAACAUCAGUGGCGAAAGCGGCUUCCUGGACCAGUACCGACGUUCAGGCACGAAAGCGUGGGGAGCAAACAGG